GAUGAACGCUGGCGGCGUGCCUAAUACAUGCAAGUCGAGCGAACGGACGAGAAGCUUGCUUCUCUGACGUUAGCGGCGGACGGGUGAGUAACACGUGGAUAACCUACCUAUAAGACUGGGAUAACUUCGGGAAACCGUAGCUAAUACCGGAUAAUAUUUUGAACCGCAUGGUUCAAAAGUGAAAGACGGUCUUGCUGUCACUUAUAGAUGGAUCCGCGCUGCAUUAGCUAGUUGGUAAGGUAACGGCUUACCAAGGCAACGAUGCAUAGCCGACCUGAGAGGGUGAUCGGCCACACUGGAACUGAGACACGGUCCAGACUCCUACGGGAGGCAGCCGUAGGGAAUCUUCCGCAAUGGGCGAAAGCCUGACGGAGCAACGCCGCGUGAGUGAUGAAGGUCUUCGGAUCGUAAAACUCUGUUAUUAGGGAAGAACAAAUGUGUAAGUAACUGUGCACAUCUUGACGGUACCUAAUCAGAAAGCCACGGCUAACUACGUG
rnacentral:rRNA from 1 species